CUUUUUACGAAUCUGUUGCGUUGACAGUUGACAGUUAACACCGCAGCAGCAACUAUCAAUUUUCAGUGCAUUACACGUUUUUAAUAGCGAUUAUGUCUAAAAUUAAAGUAAACUGAAUCCUGACCCACGAACAUUGUUGUAAUCGUUUUUCAUGCUGGAUUUAUACAGAUAAUUUUUACUUUUACUUUCAGCUUUAUUUUUCUUCAAGAAAGUUAAAGUAAUGGAUUCAUAUGCGAGCGUUUAUACAAAUUUUUUUUUUCUUUUUUUCUUUAAGCAAAGAUGGGCAUCUUUUAACUUUUAUUUAAGAAAAUAAAAAUUUGUUAAGUGCGCAAGCGCAUAGAACCAAAGACAGCACGGCAACAGGCCUACGACACGAGGCGGAAAUUCGCGGCAGCAGCUCUUAUGUUUUUUGCGUAGGUGGGCCCGCCUCAACCGUCGAUUCGAGAUGCUAUGAAUAUGCUACUUUUAAAUGAAGCCUACCACAACGGUUCGGCCUACCUUAACGAUUUUUCGACGGCGAGAGUUUUAAAAUAUUGUAAUUUUCUUUACGGACUCGCAGAUGGAGUUAAACUUACCUUUGACUAUCCAAAUUAAUAGAACGCAUGCAAUUAUAUGUUAUAUGAACAUAAAAACGUAAAAUGCAGUAGCUAUUAUUUUAGUUUUAUUAACUAGAUUUGAAUAAUUUCAUCGAAUAAGAGUGAGCAAGGAUUGUAGAGAGUGGGGAGUGCCUACCUCAACCGUCAUUUUGACGGUGUUGCCAGUGUUGGUACAAUUGUACCAGAUUUGGUACACUGAAGUGCAUAAUAUACAAUGACACUACUUUAAAAGAAAACAGCUAAAUCUGGUACAAAUAUUCACCUGAAGAUUUUGUUUUUUUUUACUCAAAUUUAUAAAAAGCGUCAUCUAGCGUUUUAGCUCAUUAACUCACAGCCCACCUCUCAUUUUACAACUUAGCACACGUCCAUUUGCUGAGUUUAUGUUUGAGUUGUUGACAUAACCUAUGGUAAAAUUGCGCGCUUGCUUGUUAUGAACAUUCAUGUACCUAAGUCUGUAACCAUAGACAUGUAACAUAGUAAUGGCUUAACUGCAUUCAGCGCAGUGUUUUUCUUUCUGAUUGUGCUUGUUAGCUCUUAACAAUGGAAAAGAGGCAAGAUGAAACUGAGUCCGAAUCUGAGCCUGAGGUGUCCAACGGAUGUGCCUCAGAAGCAGGUUAUAAUACGGAAACGGAGAAAAAAAAGUCCGGUACUGAGAGUAAAAAAAGAAAAAUAAAUUAUGCACAUAAAUUUAAUGAAAAAUUAGUGCAAGACUACCCUUGGCUCUCUUGCAAAAAUGGAAAAUCAUUUUGUGAAGUGUGCACCACGUUAGUUGCUGGGAGUGCCUCUCAUAUAAAAAGACAUGUAAAUUGUUAAAAACACAAAAUAAAAAUUUAAGCUGCUAAGUUAACGCCUAGUAUUAAAAAUUUUUCUACAAAUGAUGCUGAAAAAAAAACAUUUAAAAAAAGUUUACAACAGCGAAUUAAAAUUAGUUAUGUUCUUGCAUAAUGGAACAUAUACCAAGUCUUCUGUGAUCAGUGUGUCCUGAUUCUGCUAUUGCAAAAGACAUUAAAUGCAGUAGAACAAAAGCCACUGCUAUAACUAAUGAAUGCAUGGCGUUAGAAAGUCUGGAAUGCUUACAAAAGCAACUUCAAGAAUCUGGAAAUACUUUCUCCCUCAUCAUUGAUGAAACGACUGAUGUGUCUGUGAAGAAGUCUUUGGCUAUUGUAAUAAGAUAUUGCUUAAAUGAUUUGUCAAGAGAUAGGUUUUUUGGAUUAGUGAAAGUUGAAGAAUCAAAUGCAGAAUCUUUGUUUAAUAUUAUUAUUAAAUUAUUGAAAGAUAAUAAGAUCGAUUUAAAAGGGAACUCAACCCAAACAUCUUUGUACUGGGUUGCACGUCUCAUUCAUUGCAUCUAGCAGCAUCUGCUGCUUGUUCAAAAAUACCAAAAGACCUAGAAGAAUUUGUAAGAAAUUUAUAUAACCAUUUUUCUAAUAGUCCUAAACGUAUUGAUCAGUUAGAAGAAUUUCAAAAAUUUUUGGAUUUAAAACCAUUUAAAAUGCUUCGACCAUGCCAAACUAGAUGGCUGUCCUUACAGGCAGUAAUGGACAGAAUAAUUUUAUUGUGGGAUUCUCUGCAACUACAUUUUACGAAUUUUUUGUUUGAAAGUUUGAGAAAUGCUUUAGACUGCGAAACUAAAUUGUUAGAAGGUUUAAGAAACCCUGUAUAUAAGAUGUAUCUUCUCUUUUUGUCUUACAUUUUAGGAAUUGUUAACCAAAUAAUUUUGCAGUUUCAAAGUGAAGGUACUCAAAUUCAUCUUUUGUACAACAAAUUUACUGCUCUUUACAAUACUGUUUUAAGAAAUUAUAUUAAAAAGUCUGUUAUUGAUAAGACUGAGUUACCAAAAAUUGCACUUGCUAAUCCUGAUUAUUUUGUGGAGCUAGAUAAUCUUUAUAUGGGUGCAAAUGUAGAUCUAUUUAUACAACAAAUUAAUAUUGACGCGACAGAAGAUCAAAAGUUUAGAACUAAUAUAUUAUCUUUUUAUAUUGAACUCGCUAAUCAAAUAAGGAAACGUUUUAAUUUUGAAGACAAGUUUCUAAUGUUUCUUUCAACUUUCGAACCUAAAGUUGCAAUGAGUGGCGAAAUUCCUUCUAUAGUGAAAAGUAAUUUAUAUUUUGGCAACAACAUCAUAACUAAUUUGGAAGAAUUAAACAACGAGUGGAGACUUUUACCAGACAUUGCCUGUUUAAAACAGUAUACAAAUUCUGAUUUUAUUGAAUUUUGGAUAAAAGUUUUUAACUUGAAAAAUGAAAUUAAUAUGCCAAUGUUUCCUAACUUGACUAAACUUGUGAAAGCCAUAAUGUGUCUACCUCAUUCAUCAGCCGCUGCCGAGCGUAUCUUUUCUAAAUUAAAUCUUAUUAAGAGUGAUUCUAGAAAUCGUUUAAGUGUUGAAACAUGCAACUCAAUUAUAUUAAGUACUGAACUGAUGGAAGGUACAAAGAAGUGUUUUAACUGGGAACCACAAAAAUCAUUGUUAGAGAAAAACGUAACAAAGACAUUAAAAGAAAUUUUCAGUAUUUAUAUAGUUUUAAGAGAAUAUAUUUUGUGUUAGUAUUUUUUGUUUUAUAUUAUUAUAGGGUUUAUUUUUUGUUAUUUAAAUUUAAUAAACUUAUGAACAAAAAAUGUUUGUAAACUUAUUUUUUGCCUUUUUCACUUUUUUCAUAAAAUUUUAUAUCGAAAAAAAAUUGGUACUUUAAAAAGGAAACUGGUACAUUUUGUUUCUUUAGGUUGGUACACAAUUAUUAAGCCAUCUGGCAACGCUGAGGCCACUCCAUGCUUUUGUAUAGGGACUGAGAUCUCGUGUCGUGGGCCUGACGCCAACCUAAACAUUGAACACUAUCGAUAACCCGUUGAACUUUUACAACAUCAAAUUUAAUGAAACUACAUAUUUUUGUCUCUGAACCCUUUAUUUAAUUAUAAAACUUCAAGGUUAUAAUGCAAAAAGUAUAAACAAUAAUAAAUAAAAUAACAAAUAAUACCAGCAAAUUAUGUUUCUGAAUAAGCAGUUGGCUUUUUUAGAAAUUUUAUUUCAAGUAAUUACAAGCGCGGUGAGACAUAGAGUGUCUCCCCUCUACAAUUUAGCAUAUAUUUAUAAUAUAAAAAAUGUUUACUAAGCAUUAAGCACUAAGGGGAUAUUUUGCACAUAUAAUUCCUCCCCUCUUAGCCCGAAACUCCGGAGAGGAACUAAAAUUUGGCAUCGCGGGGUAGUUCUACUGGCUCAGGGGCUUCUUCCGUUUGGUUUCUUCGCCGAAAUGCUAUCUUCUGCAUCAUAAACCAGAUGGCUAAGGCUAGAAAUACAAAAUACAAUAUAGCAGUUCCGGUUAGGUGCCAAAUAUUUUUGCUAUCUUCGUAGGGGUACAUCUGAAGUCGAGGCAGGUUGUUAGUUAAACUUGUAACUUGAAGGGUCCUCAAGGUUAGCUUGGGAAUCUUCACAUUAUUUCUUGCAGGAAGUCUGAAGUCUUCUAGGAUUAUGGGUUUUCCUUCGGUUGUGUCAUUAAAAAUCAGAAGUUGAUCAUUGACGUAUUUUUGGCAGUUUAGUUGAUUUUCGAAGAGAAAGACACCUUGGAUUUGGUGUUGUGCCAAAACAUUGGAGCAAGAAGUUUUGAUGGGAACUGGUACCGGAAAAAUGCCUAGAUACUGAUUAAUUUCGGGAACGAAUUCGAGAGUUUGGAGCCUGUUGAGCUGGAUUGGAAGACAUUUUUCGAACGUGUUUUUAAAUAGGAUUUCCAUUUGACAAGAAAUAUUAACAUAGGUCCUUAAUUCAUUUUUACAGAAGUAUUCCUUUUGGAUUUUGUCACAGAUGUCUGUUAACGGCCACAAAUAGGACUCGCCUUUUAAAACAUAUUUUGCAGAUGGUAUGAUUGUUUGAAAUUUCUGGUCUGGAAGAGGUAUUAAGUAAAAUAAUUCUAAUUCACGUGUUUCGUACAAAGGAAAAGAAAGAAAAUAAAUUAUUUCAAAUUUAUUAAUGACACAUUUGGUUGACAAAAUUCUUUUAUAAUUUUGAAUGUU